rnacentral:tRNA from 1 species
GAGACGUUAGUAAACCUAUUACAUAACCUUGUCAAGGCUAAAUCACAGGUGAAAGUCCUGUACUUCUCA